CACGGGGGGAGCAAGCGUUGUUCGGAAUCACUGGGCGUAAAGGGAGUCUAGGCGGUCAGGUAAGUGGAAUGUGAAAUCCCUCGGCUCACCCGAGGACCUGCAUCCCAAACUGCCUGGCUUGAGUAUGGGAGAGGAUGAGGGAAUUCCUGGUGUAGCGGUGAAAUGCGCAGAUAUCAGGAGGAACACCGAUGGCGAAGGCAGGUCUCUGGGCCAUAACUGACGCUGAGAAGCGAAAGCGUGGGGAGCGAACAGG
rnacentral:rRNA from 1 species